AGCCCAUUAACAUCCAAAACAGAAUAUUUAAUAGCAUGGAACAAUCAAAAAUUAUAGAUACGUUGGAGACGUAUCACAUAUGAAUGGUGAUUUCUUUUUGGUACAGGCAACUAGUGUCGCUGAUCUGCCAAGUAUAUGAUUCCAGAGCGUCUUGUCAUCAGCGACCUACCUCCACUGGGACCUGACUGCCAUCCGACAACACGUGAGUCAUACCGGACAUCGUUGGGACCUCCAUGUCCGGCUACAUGGGUUGCGGUGAGCCCCUGCUCUCUCUCUCUCUCUCUCUCUCUCUCUCUCUCUCUCUCUGCCCUUAGACGGUCUGGCCAUUGAGCUAGUGUGCGACUGUUGUCGUCAUGCUGUGUGUAGUGGUGGUGGUCUUCCGGCAACUGACAUGAUCUUGGGAUUGUGGUCAUAUUUCAUGUUGAUUAUACAUAUCAUAAUAGUUGUACUUUGUGAGGCCAUGUGUGUAUGUGGCUGCUACCAUGCUUUGUUGCCUAUGCAAGAUUCUGUUGUGCCUCGACAAAUAUUCUUCGGUUUAUCCAUUUAUGUACCUUUUUUGCACUGCAUGUUACAGGUUUGGUAGUGGUCCUUGUUCUAGCUUUGGUAGGAUCCUUGCUUAUGCUCGGAUGUUGAUUUGUUAAUAAUGGCUAUCGUCAAGUAGAAAGAAAACUAUUACCUAUUAACUGGUGUAGUGUUGCUGGGCACAUAUAGAUAGAACAAGUGUUAUCUUUGUGUGCUUUGCAGGGAGCCAUGAUGCAUGUGCUAGCAAUCUUUAUGACUAGUCUUGGAUGAAUAUUUAAUCUAGUUGUCUAUUCGAUUGUCAAUUGUUUGCUAUGCUAGCUGAACAAAGGGUGCUUCUUUUAAUUUCUUAUGCUAGCUGAUCAGUUUCUAGAGCUGAACAAUAUAUCUAGUUUCUUUUAGCUGGGCCCCGGCACAAAUCACACCUGCUCUCCCCGGAGCUCUCUCCCUCCUCUGACGCCUCUGAUGAACACUUCUUCCCUGAUUACAGCCGAGGUGAGCCACUCGCUUCGUUUCUUUUGCAUGAUUACUCUCAUUCCCUGUGUGUCCACAACCAUCGAGCAGUGGUAAUUUUAUACUGGCCAUUGCACGAUGGGCAUUUCUUGGGCUGGGUUUGGGGCUGUGGUGAUGGUGUCUGCUAUAAUCUACAUUUCUGUUUCUGUGAAUGAUUGAGGACCAAAUUAUUUUCCUUGCUAUGGCUGCGGCUGCGUUGCACCAUCUUAAUUGGUACUUCUAAUUGUUACACGUGUUCUAAAUUCAUGAUGCUCAGUGUCCCAUGUAGUUUUUAAACUAAACUUGAUGUAGAAGAUGAUCUUUGGAAUAAACUAGAUGCAGAAAAUUAUCACCUUUGGCAAAACAAGUAUAAACUUUGGCAACUUAAUUCACAUGUCGUAUCUGUUUAUUACUUGACAACAAAUUAACAAAGUGGCCGCGACUUGGAAGACGUUUUACUCGACCACAGAAUGAAUUCACUUGUAAUGUUGAAAUAUUUUCUGUAAUUCCUGGCAAACCAAAACAGUAUGCAAAUUAUUUCACCACAUAAUGGUCACGCAGCUGGUUUGAACUCCAAUACUUACAUUUUGAUUCCUGGGUGUAGAUGAUAGACAUGAUUUCUGAUUUCUUCCAUUGAAGGCCUUAGUGGGCAUACCACUAGGGAGAUUUUUGAGAUGCUCAAGGAGUGAGAGAGCUUCGUCUUGCAGUGCAAUGGUUACAUCAGGCGGUGCCAGCAACCCCAUGGAGGUGGUGGCUUCGCCGGCGCCUCUGCUCUAGUGACCACUGCUUGCCUAGGCAACAUGUGUCGCUGAUCUGCCAAGCAUAUUAUGAUUCGAGAGCAUCUCGUCACGUCACCAGCGACCUACCUCCACUGGGACUUGACUACCAGCCGACAGCACAGCGACCUACCUCCACUGGGACUUGACUACCAGUCGACAGCACGUGAACCAUACCGUACAUCGUCGGGACUUCCAUGACGCAUCGGAGAUGGGACUCGGCGCAAAUCACACCUACUGUCCCUCCUCUGACGCCUCUGGUGAACACUUCUUCUCUGACUAUGACCUAGGUCCUGCAUUUGGAUCUCAUUGCUGCUGCUUUGGUUAGGCGGCAAUUUAGAAACUCUACAGCAGUAGGCACGCGCGAGCGCGUACUUGCAUGUCACGCUAAUCAAGAAUGAAGCAUAUAGUUAGUUCACAUUGUGUCUGUAAAGGCUAGCUUGCCUAGUUAGGGCCCGUAUCUUAUGUAUCUUAGUGCUUUU